UACGUAGGGUGCAAGCGUUAAUCGGAAUUACUGGGCGUAAAGCGUGCGCAGGCGGUGAUGUAAGACCGAUGUGAAAUCCCCGGGCUUAACCUGGGAACUGCAUUGGUGACUGCAUUGCUAGAGUAUGGCAGAGGGGGGGUGGAAUUCCGACGUGUAGCGUGAAAUGCGUAGAGAUGUGGAGGAACACCGAUGCGAAGGGCAGCCCCCUGGGCCAAUACU
rnacentral:rRNA from 1 species